GAUAAACGCUGGCGGCGUGCCUAACACAUGCAAGUCGAACGAUCCCGCAAGGGAGAGUGGCGGAAGGGUGAGUAAUACGUGGGAAUCUACCUCCUCGCAGGGAACAACCUCUCGAAAGAGAGGCUAAUACCCAAAAGGGUCAGAAAUGAUCAGAGUCGAAAGGCGUGAGGAGAGGAGCCCGCGGCCCAUCAGCUAGUUGGUGAGGUAAUGGCUUACCAAGGCUACGACGGGUAGGGGAUCUGAGAGGAUGUCCCCCACACUGGAACUGAAACACGGUCCAGACGCCUACGGGUGGCAGCAGUGAGGAAUAUUGGACAAUGGGCGAAAGCCCGAUCCAGCAACGCCGCGUGGAGGAUGAAGGCCUUCGGGUCGUAAACUUCUUUAGAGGGAGACGAGAAAGGACGGUAUCCCUAGAAUAAGCGACGGCAAACUACGUGCCAGCAGCCG
rnacentral:rRNA from 1 species